GUAGGACACUCGAUUGUUUAGCCUAGUUGCCGAGCUUGUGUGAAAUUUGCUGAACCGCAGCUGUUCAGUUGCUCAUGACUAUUCGACUGAAGUGGCUGUCGCAACAGCAGCUCGGAUCGCUGUGUGGUGGUGCCUUGCAAGUUGUAGUCUAAACUCAAGCGGCGGGCGCAGCAAAACAAAAAAAUUAAAUAAAAUAUAAAAAUAAAUGUAAAAAAAAGGUGCCAGAAAUGUGUCGCGUACCAUAGCAUACAUCCAGGCGUUGUGUCAUAUUUCAACUCCGUACGUCUGCGGUUCGUAGCUGUGCUUAAGUGUAGCCAGUUAUUUCGCAAUGCUAUCAUCACCGUUAUCAGCAUCAUUCGCAGCAUUAUCAGCGUCACCAUCAAUCUAAUCAUUGCAUUUAACUGAGUCAUCACCUUUCUAAGCAUCUUCUGUAAUCUCGAGUCAAGGCAACCAUGAUUUUGCAAGCACUACGUCCUGGUAUCGGUUGGUGUGUGUAAGUUCUAAAGAGCGCGCACAACCACUCACACACACGCAGAAAAAGUCGAAAAGUCGCAUCAACCUUCGAUAUAUAGUUCAACCGCACUAUCACCAUUGCGCACACUGCCAUCAGCCACACGCCGCCAGCAGCAGCAUCGUCAUAACCACCAUCACCACCACCACCUCCAUCGCCACCACAUCUCAGCGCUUCCUCAUUACAUCGCACAGUGCUCGCCUCAACAUUUUUGCGGGUUUUCUUUCCGCCUUCAGCCACAUUCUCAUGCAUCGGCGAAUACCGAAAAAACACAAUGCAAAAAUAUACUAUACCGUUGCACACACACACUCACUGGUGCUUAAGUGCGGCAUGGCAUUUAUUAGUGAUUAGCGUGUUGCGUGUUUUCUUCGUGUUCAAGUGAAAAGAGAAAAAAAUCCCUUUCGCUCCCGUCUUCCGCCUUCCGCACAAUGGCACUUUGAGUGCUGACUCCGAACAAUCUGACAUACAAACCGUAAGUCUUGCUCCGUCGGUGUUUUGUUGGCGUUAAAUGCGCUGUCGUGUCAAGUGAAAUUAACUUUAAAUGCAAUUUAAUUGCUCCGAACUCGAAGCUCAAGUCGUGGAAGGGCAUUAGUACUUUAUUGCCAGCCGCAAAAGUGUGGCAACGUGUGUGCUUCCCAAUGGAUUUAUGUGUUUCGUGGUGACUGUGUGCAACUAACGGUACAGCUAAAUAUGUGCCUCAAGUCGCUGUGAGGCGUCAGCGAACCUACAGAUGAAUCAACCAGAUGCAAAGCCUCCACUGUUGGCACUGUCUAAAGAGCCACUCAGCCACACCGUCAUGAGCACGCUCCAAUUCGCUGGCCGUGGCUGUUGUUACAGCUGUGCAUCACCGCCAACAUAAUGCAGAUACCCGUUGUGGCCGUGGCAUGGCAGCGGGAAUGUUGCACGGUCGCAUAGCCGUGACGUGACGAUGCAUAUCUUGUCGACAACACUAAUUCAUUCUGAAUUAUGCGAGCAUAACUCAUUCUGUUGCCAUUGUUGUUGCGCGCCACCGCUCUUGUGUACUGCAACAGCAUAACACCGCGCAAGUGGCCAUCAGUAUCACCUCGCCAACAACGUCGCGCGCCCAAGUCAUUGUCGCGGUCCGCACUGUGGCGUCUCCGGCUAUGCAGGUGGAGGCAGUGGGGCUGCCGCGGCUUGUUACACUGCCAUUAGAGAUAGAUGUCCAAUUUGUAGACACAG
rnacentral:lncRNA from 1 species